GUAAGAUUUCGAAAAAAAAAUUCCUGCAAUCCAAGGAGAAAGAAAAAAAAAAUCAUGCAGCAUACAAUCGAGGAAAAAAAAUAUCAUGCAAAAGAUAGCGCUCAAAAAAAAAAUUCCUACAUGUAAAUCUACUGACAUUCUUCACUUCAGUAUUGUGUCCACAGGCUUGCUAGAUUUUGCAUUUUUGAGCAAGCACAUUUGCUUUUGAAGAACACUGGGUGAACAGUGGACAACAUCACAGGGAUUCUACCGCCUUUGGAGUCUAUAAUAUACGAUAGCCAGUGGCGUUCCCUGGCAAAAUUGUUGCCCCCCCCUGAGAAAAUCUGGGCUUAAGAUAUGUACAAGUUUAUAAGUUAUUUAUACAUAUCUAAUAUGCAUGGUAGAAAAAGUAUUUUUGGAUGGUUGAGUCUGUGUGCGUUUUUUGAUAACAUAGCUCCAAACUAUUAAAGCUUCAAAGGCCCAUCUACAGGAUGCAAGUUGAACGUACUGUAUAUACGAUGAUUUUAAUGCGAAAAUGCCAGUUUAGAGAGUCUAGAUUUUAAAAAAAUUCUGAAGAGGAUGCAACCCGAUCCCCAACAAGCUAUCUGUAUGAACGAUUGAAAAGCUACAGAGCUAUAUUUGGUGGAACAUUGUUGUUUCGGAGGGCAGUUAAAAAUCGCAUUAUUGAAAUCUUGUUUUAUUACAUAUUAAUCAAAGCUCAUUUUGUG